rnacentral:lncRNA from 1 species
CUCCUACCAAAGCAGUAUAGUAUUCAUUAAUAACUAUGAACCUCAUUUUCAAGGAUUUCCUAGCCUGGUACCAAAAAGAGCCAGGUUAGCACAAGAUUCAGACAUGAUGUAAUAGUGUGCCAAUUAAAUGCAAGCUGUUUGGGACCACAAAAGAGAGAGAGCCAUCAAUUUUUCCUUCCUGGAAUUCUGCAAGGCUUUUCAGAGUGUACCACAUUCAAGGAAUGGGCCAAGUUCUCAAGGCAGAGAAUCAUCUAGGUCCAUAAUCCAGAAAUAUGUCCUGUGGUUUCCUGUAGAAGAAAAGGCAGCUGAGAAAACAUAGCUAAGUAAAAGAAAGUGGAAAAUUGAAAUAUAAAGAGUGAAGAAAGAGACUACCUGCUAGAACCUCCAUAAGUAAGUGCACCAGAUCUUUAUCU